GACGAACGCUGGCGGCGUGCUUAACACAUGCAAGUCGAACGGAAAGGCCCUGCUUUUGUGGGGUGCUCGAGUGGCGAACGGGUGAGUAACACGUGAGUAACCUGCCCUUGACUUUGGGAUAACUUCAGGAAACUGGGGCUAAUACCGGAUAGGAGCUCCUGCUGCAUGGUGGGGGUUGGAAAGUUUCGGCGGUUGGGGAUGGACUCGCGGCUUAUCAGCUUGUUGGUGGGGUAGUGGCUUACCAAGGCUUUGACGGGUAGCCGGCCUGAGAGGGUGACCGGCCCCCUUUGGGAUGGGAUACGGGCCCGACUCCUACGGGGGGCAAGAGUGGGGAAAAUUGGAAAAUGGGCGGAAGCCUGAUGCAGCAACGCCGCGUGCGGGAUGACGGCCUUCGGGUUGUAAACCGCUUUCGCCUGUGACGAAGCGUGAGUGACGGUAAUGGGUAAAGAAGCACCGGCUAACUACGUG
rnacentral:rRNA from 1 species